UUUUUUUUUUUUUUCCUUUUCGUAUGAUUGUAAGCUAAUUUUUAUCCCUCCUUACAUCAUGUUAUAGUUGACUUUUCUGCUCUGGCUGUCAGUGUCAGGAACUCUGCUUCUGUACACUAACAUGCAGACAUUUGUGGAAGGUCUUCCUCGAUGUCUGACACUGGUGCCUUGAAGAAAAAUGUACUGGCUACAUCAAACUCUUUAUUCCUCCUAAGCCAGUUGUUAGCUUUUGCAGUAUUUCUAAUGAAAUUGUGAUUUUUUUUUUUUAAAGCAGAUUCUUUCUUGGUGGAGCUGUGAUUUGCAAUAAUCUUGUCAUGCCAAGCUCGAAAUCCUACUAAAUGAAGACAUUUGUCGAAGGGAAUGAUUGUAAAUUGCAUGCAAAUUUCAGCUCGGCUGGAAUUAAUCAAUAUGGAAACAGAAUCUGUGCGUUCCUGAUAUAAUGAUGCUGAAACUAAUCCCAUGGAGUUUUAUUUCCAUGGGAAUUAGGUAUUUACUUUGAUUUAAAUCUCUCUUUUUUUUUCUUCUUGAAGACAAAGGUCCAGUUUUUGAGUAUUUUAAUAACUUUUUAGGGGAUAGAGAAAUGUUCCAAAGGAAACGGGGGUAAAACCAAGCAUCUGAUUUAUCCUAUGGGGACAUCUGGCAUUUCCUAUUUGAUUUGCUGUGCCUUUUUAAUCAAUAUUUUCCCCGGUUUUUCUUGCUCAUUUUUUUUUCCACUGAAAAUUCUAAGGCUUAUUAUGUCACACAGUCUUUAGUAUAUGUUAAAUAUGCAACACUGGUCUAACUGUUCUAAAUGGCAUGUUCUAUCAUUUAUAUUAAUUUCCGGGGACAGGGGAGCUGUCUCAUCUUUGAUGUGUGUGUGUGUGUGUGUGUGUGUGUGUGUGUGUGUGUGUGUGUUUUCUGUUCAGUUUUCACUUGUCAUAAAAUCUCACUUUCUGGGGAACAGGUCAGUCUUAGAAUUUCUCAUGCCGCCUUACAGUCACAGUGUUUCUCAUUUUCUUGGAUUGUUAGGAUUAGGCUUAUUGCCUUUUAUCCUUGUAUUUGACCCCUAGAUCUGUAAGCCUUGGAAUAUCUGAUCCUCACCUUUUCUUUGAGCUUUUAGGUCAAGAAUUUGCAGAUAGAAGGUCUUAUCAUUGGUUUAUUGCAUAUCACCAAUGCAUUAGUAUUAUCCCCAUAAAUCCAGAGCCUGACAACUUACUGCCUAACCCCUUUAGAGUACUUUAAGAGUUUCUUUAUUUAUAGCCCAGUUUAAACCCCAGUGGGUAACACUCCAUAAACCUGCAGUGACAUCCAGUGGCCUCGUGCUGUAAUUUUUGACCAAGUUUUCCAAAAGAAAUAGGGGCAGUAAUUCUCAUCAAGAAAAAAAUUCUGGAGUUAUUGAAGGGGGUUCCUUACAUAUAUUAUUUUCCAAGUAGUUAGUAACUGACAUAUCCCAUCACAGGAUUAGCAGGAGAAUGAUCAUCCCUUUUUUGGUUUUUAAAUGUAAGAAUGAAACGUGUGGCAAGAUCAACUUCAGUAUAUUCCAGCCAAGAUUAGAGGAAAAUAUAAAACUAAGGAUAGUUUUUUUAAAAAAAGGCAAUUUUUAACAGAAACUUGCAAUGUCAAAUUUCAUAAUCUGGAUCUUUUUAUAAGACUUUAUAAAUUGAGGGAGAACAUUUAGUUUGUGCUCUUGAUUAUGAAAUUAAAAGUUCUGUGUUUUUCCUACUUGGUUCUUGUGCGGUCAGUUUCUUUGAGAGUCUUUUACUGUGUUACUUCUUGGAUUUUCUCAGACUUUCUAAAAUUGAUACUAUAAAUCAUGGGCAAGUGAUUCCCAAUCUGAUUACUGUCCUUGAAUUAUGUUAUUAAAGGAGAGCAUGUGGUUUUUACAAAAAUGACACACCAUUAACCAUAACACCAUUAAUAUCAUAAACAGUUUACAUAAUAGAAAAACGUAUAAAAAAGAACCCAGCACAACAAACCUACCUUUCCACAAAAAUAGCCUGUAUUAACAUGUGGUGAGCAUCUUUCAAGUAACUCUCUGUGCAUUUAUAUUAAUAGAAAGAUUAAUAGAUGGGAAGUUAGGAAAUAAUUUCAUAAUAUUGAACUAAACAACAUAUAUUAUUGCUGUGUUGACUUGGUUUCUAAAUUCCACAAUGGUAGGAUAGGUGGGGAGGGCCAGGGUAGAGGGCUUGCUUUUUUUUUUUUAAUUGCAUUUUUUUCUUUAGUGGGGUUCCUCCUUUGGUGUGAUAGGGCUGACUAGUGAAGGUCAGGCUAGACAGAGGAUCUAUACAGAGGAGUGGUGGGCAGCACCUCAUGGCCUGGUCUGUAGAUAAUCUAAAGGAAGGUGGAAUGAUCAGCAUAGUUUAUAUGUUUAAAAACACAGUGUGAGAUGUUCUAGAGCCCAGAGAGUUAAUAGAAGUAAAUCUAGUAUGUAGGAACUAAGCAUGGAGUAUAUUCCGAACUGCUACUAGGCACAUUUAUACCAAAGAUGAAUGCUAGAUUCAGAAAGAGAGGGAGAUUGUUAAAUCUUUCUCACAGUCAAUACUGAAGCAGAAAUUUAACAUUUAAAUUUUACUGUCUUGGAUGAAUGGAUUGAGAAGAUGUGGUAGGUAUACACAAAGGAAUACUACUCAGCCAUAAAAAAGAACAAAAUAAUGCCAUUUGCAGCAACCUGGAUGGAACUAGAGACUCUUAUACUAAGUGAAGUAAGUCAGAAAGAGAAAGACAAAUACCAUAUGAUAUCAUUUAUAUCUGGAAUCUAAUAUAUGGCACAAAUGAACCUUUCCACAGAAAAAAAAAAAUCAUGGACUUGGAGAACAGACUUGUGGUUGCCAAGGCAGAGGGGUAGGGAGUGGGAUGGACUGGGAAUUUGGGGUUAAUAGAUGCAAACUGUUGCCUUUGGAAUGGAUAAACAAUGAGAUCCUGUUUAUAUUUUGUCACUUAUGAUGGAGCAUGAUAAUGUGAGAAAAAGAAUGUAAAUGUGUAUGUGUGACUGGGUCACCUUGCUGAGCAGUAGAAAAUUGUCAGACCACUGUAAACCAGCUAUGAUGGAAAAAAUGAAAAUCAUUUAAAAAAUAAAUAAAUUUUACUGUCUUGUACCACCUCCACCCUUACCCUUCUAGGUAAAAGGCAAAAGUCCUGUGCCACUAGGGGAAGGGUAAGAAACCUAUCUUCCCUUCUUCCCUUAUGCUGUGGACAGAUAAGCUGCUAUAAGGAGGAUGGCUUUGUACUGCCUCACCUGCUCCACUUGAAUGACACUGUGAAAAAGCCAUCAGCUGCUGGGAGAGAUCAUGGUGCCAGGAUUUUGCACUGAUACAAAGCAGAGGUUCUCUACCUAUGGCAGAGGAGUAGGAAACUUCCCCAUGCCUGAGAUAAUUCCACCAAUACAAGAACUCAGUUUCCUCAUGGGAGGUGUGUAAGGAAGAGCAGAAAUCCUGAUUACCCUCCAUUACCUUAACUGAGUAAGAAGCAGUGGUUGCCUGCUGUUAAGGAAGAGGUAGAAAUGCUGAGAAAGUCUCACUCCUGAGAUUCAAUUGCCUUAGGUCAGGCUAAGGCAGAGGUUGGAGCAGGUGGUCUGAGAAACUCUUUCCCUGCACCACAAGGCUUGAGCCAAGAAAUGAACAAUUGUAGUCUACUGCAGGAGCAUGGAGAGACACUCCUUUACUCACCCACGUAUGUAUCCUGUAAUGCUUACAUGCAGGACCUAUUGCAUUUUUAGCAUGGAUCACAGAUACAGGAAAAUUCUAAUAUUUAAAAAAAUAAACUUAAAAAUAGUUUCAGAUUUGCAAAAAUUAGAAUGAUUAGUACAGAGAAUUACCGUGUACAUGCAAUGUAGUUUUCCCUAUUGUGAACAUCAUACAUACAUGUGAUACAUCUUUACAAUUAAUGUGCCAAUAUUACUACGUUAUUACUAAUUAAAGUUCAUACUUUAUUUAGAGUUCCUUAGUGUUCUGUCCAGAACAUCACAUUAUAUGUUUGUCAUUAUUGCUCUUUAGCAUUCUCUCAACUGAGACCGUUUCUUGGAUUUUUUUUUUUUUUUUUUGAGUGCUGCUCAGGUAUUUGGUAGAAUAUUUCUUGAUUGUUGCCUUUUUGAAAAUGUUUUCCUGAUUUUUUUCUCAUGACUAGACUCUCAGUUGGCUUCUGUUUAGGAACUUUUGGACUUGCACAAAGAACUAGGUCACAGGGGUCUAUUAAAGGAGGAAUUUGCAUCCUGUAGUACACUGAAACUAAUUAUAUCAGCAACACAAUCCAAACCCAGUUCAACUACUUACUAAAUUUACUCAGUUAACCUAAUGCUAAUAGCCUGAAAGAAGUCACUCAUUUCCAGGCAUAGUAUUAUUUACUUUAGUUUCUUUCACACACAAAGUGUAGAAUUCAAUUUGAAAAUUUAUGAAGCAUAGACAGAAGCAAGGGAAAAAAAAUACACCCAAAGCCUGUAUCAAGAGGUUUAACAGUCAACAGAAGCAAAUGAAGAGGUGAAUUAGAUAUGCAAACUUCAGACAGACUUUGAAAUUACUAUGAUCACUUCAUUAAAAGAUCUAGUGGAUAAAAAGACAAUAUACAUAGAUCAGUGGGCAGUUUCACUAUUGAUAUGGAAUAUACAAAUAAAUGUCAAAUGGAAAUGAUAGAAAUGUAGAACAGAAUACCAUAUAUUAAAAUUUGUGUGUGUGUUUAUUAACAGACUGGAUGCAGUAAAGACAGAAUCCGUGAUCUUGUAGAUACAGGAGGAAAACUCUUCAAAAAUGAAACAGAGCAAAAAGAGUGGAAAUAAAAACACAGGACAUCUGAAAACAGGAUAUUACUGGGAAAUAUAUCAAAUAAUCUAACAUAAAUGAAGAGAGAGAAAAUAAGGCAGGAGAAAUGUUUGAAGCAAUAAUAGCUGAGUUUUUUUUCAGAAUGGGAUGUAACAAACUACAAAUCCAGUCAGCAUAAACAUGAAGAAAAGCAUACCUGUAUAUAUAGUACUGGCACUGCUGAAAACAAAAAAUAAGAGGAAAUUCUGAAGACAAAGAAAUAUUACUUAAUGAGGUACAUAGAUAACAGUUUGGCAGACAUGUAGUUAGAAACUAUGAAAGCCAGAAGACAAUGGAGUGAUGUAUUUUAAGAACUGACAUCCAGAAUUCCAUCUCCAGGAAGAUAUCUUUCGAAAAGAAAGGCAAAAUUUCAGAAUUUGUAAAAUGAAAAAAACCUCAAGAGAAUUUCUUGCUAACAUAAUAGCACUAUAAGAAAUGUUAAAGAAAGGUCUCAGGUGAGAGUAUACUGCUGGAUAGAAAAUUUGGUGUUACAUAUAUUUACUGUGGAAUAAAGAGCACCAGAAGUGUAAAACUGUGGGUGAAUAUAAAAGACAUUUUUCUUCUGACUUUCUAUUAUUUUUUUCUUUUUCUUUCUUUUUUUUUUUUUUUUUUUUUUUGCCGCAUCCAUAGCAUAUGAAGUUCUCAGGCCAGGGAUCAAACCUGCACCACAGUUGUACCACAGGAAACUUCCAACUUUAAGUCUUUUGAAAAAAGGUUAGAGUAAGGGUUGGCCAAAGAAACCUGUGACCUAAAUACUACCUGUGGCUUUUUUUUUUUUUUUUUUUUGGUGCAGCCUAAGAGCUAAGAAUGUUUUUGUAAUUUUAAAGGGUUGUAAAUAAAUUAGGGAAAAAUGAAGUAAUCAAAGAAUAUGCAACAGAGACUCUAUAUGGCUUGCCAAGUCUGAAUUAUUUACUUUCUGAUCCUUUCUAAAGCAAAAAUAAUAACUGCAUCAUGGGGUUUGUAACAUAUGUCAUUGUAAAAUUUGGCAACAAAAGCACAAAGGAGAGCAGGAGGGAAAUGGAAAUAUACUGUUAAAAGAGUCCUACAUUAGCAAAGGGGUCUACAGAAGAAAAAGUGUCCUACAUUAUUCGUGAAGUAAUAUAAUAAAAUUAUAGUAGACUAUGAUAAAUUAAAGAUGUAUAUUGAAUUCUAGAACAACCAAUGAGGAAGAAGAUAAAACAAAGAUGUAUAAUCAACAAGCUGAUGAAGAGAGGAAAUGGAAUCCUAAAACAUGCUCAAGUAAAACAAAACAAGUCCAGAAAAACCAAGACAAAAACCAAAAACAAAUUAAAUAGUAUAAUGAUAGGUAUAAUAGCAAUAAUUACAUUAACUAUAUAUGGUCCAUUAAAAAACCAGAGUUUAAAAAUGGCAUAAAACCCAAGUACUAAUGUGUUGUCUACAAGAAACCCAUUUUAUAUAUGAAAACAUAGCUGUGUUAAAACUAAAAA
ensembl:lncRNA